ACAAAAUUUUUCGCCAAUCUCACCCGACAUCGACUUCACAGCAGCGCAAGCUGUUGUAGGCUGUAAUGAAAUGUUCGUAGCAUGCACGUUCAUGCAGAGAGAUCUAUUAUAGGAUUGGGUCGAUGUUUGAAUACAUAUGUUUGUCCACUCCAGUGCGGUGUUUGUGGAUUGGAAUGUGGUCCAUUUAAACGCAUUUAGAGAACACAGCGUUCCUUACUUGAUUAGAGAUCAUACUGUGGCACUAAAUACUUAAACGUGUGAUGUGUGGAUUGCAAUGGAUUCAAGUGAGCUUGUGGGAAUGUUCAUGGAAGGGAAACCGCGAACAAGGUCUUGACAUACCUAAGAAUGUUGUCGGGAGAGUUAUUCUAAACUUCUGCUUCAUUGGAUGUUUAUGCUUUACGAGUGACAUUGUGGAGACUGGCAAGGAUCAAGCAAGAACUGAGUUACUGAGGCUGAGUUCUGAUGUGUUUCGUGAGUUUAGCAAUGAAAACUCUACAAUGAUAAUUGAUGGUGCUUUCUGUACGGCAUGGCUAAGAACUUUCAGAAGUCAACAAGUCCUUCAGUUUUCUCCCAAGAUAACAGAUCGGGACGCAAAUCUGAUGCUCUUCAGAGACUGCAUAGUGUUUGACUGAGAGGGACAGUUUAGUCCUGUCAACCCUGGCCUUUAAAAAUUUGAGGAAGAAGGAGUGGAGAUAACUGCCAAUUCACUUAUCCUGGAAUCAUUAACACAAGUCUUUUUUGUCACCACAACACUUUUCGUGGCUUGAUGAACAUUGGUAAAUAUUUUGUGAAAAGCGUUCCACAGGUUUGUUCUCUCUCUGCGAUGUAAUGGUUCAGAAGAGAUUUUCUUGAGAAAGAAGACAAAAGUACUUUGGAUGUUUUAGCAUAUUUGCUUCCAUUCCUCAUGGUUUUAGGGAGCAGCAACCACAUGCUACAUAGCAUUGCAUCCGCAAGUUAAGGGGUUGAGCGGGGAGUAUUUUCCAACAGUAAUAUAUGAAAACAUAGCACUUUGGCAAAGGACAAAGAACUAGCGAAGAAGUUGUGGGAUUUCAGUUGGAGCUUGACGGAUCCCAAGUGAUGCCUUUGUUGAAAAUGAUCUCUGCACUGCCAGUGUGAAACUUGCCUGAGUUUUUGUGUAUGAAACCCUUUAGUAAUUGGAACUGUUUAGCAUUUGCAUUUGUUAGCUUGAAUAUCACACAGCUUAUAUUGAAGCUUACCAUUUCCACA